rnacentral:rRNA from 1 species
CCUACGGGGGGCAGCAGUGAGGAAUAUUGGUCAAUGGACGGAAGUCUGAACCAGCCAUGCCGCGUGCAGGAAGACGGCUCUAUGAGUUGUAAACUGCUUUUGUACAAGGGUAAACCUGAAUACAUGUAUUCAGCUGAAAGUACUGUACGAAUAAGGAUCGGCUAACUCCGUGCCAGCAGCCGCGGUAAUACGGAGGAUCCAAGCGUUAUCCGGAUUUAUUGGGUUUAAAGGGUGCGUAGGCGGAUUGAUAAGUUAGAGGUGAAAUGUCCGAGCUUAACUCGGGAACUGCCUCUAAUACUGUUGGUCUAGAGAGUAGAUGCGGUAGGCGGAAUGUAUGGUGUAGCGGUGAAAUGCUUAGAGAUCAUACAGAACACCGAUUGCGAAGGCAGCUUACCAAUCUAUAUCUGACGUUGAGGCACGAAAGCGUGGGGAGCAAACAGGAUUAGAUACCCCAGUAGUC